GACGAACGCUGGCGGCGUGCUUAACACAUGCAAGUCGUGCGGUAAGGCCCUGCUUUGGUGGGGUACACGAGCGGCGAACGGGUGAGUAACACGUGGGUGACCUGCCUUCAGCUUUGGAAUAAGCCUGGGAAACUGGGUCUAAUACCGGAUAUGACCUUGGGGUGCAUGCCUUGGGGUGGAAAGCCUGUGUUGUUUGGCAUGGGUGGCUGGGGGAUGGGCCCGCGGUCUAUCAGCNGUUGGUGGGGUGAUGGCCUACCAAGGCGACGACGGGUAGCCGGCCUGAGAGGGCGUUCGGCCACACUGGGACUGAGACACGGCCCAGACUCCUACGGGAGGCAGCAGUGGGGAAUAUUGCGCAAUGGGCGGAAGCCUGACGCAGCGACGCCGCGUGGGGAUGACGGCCU
rnacentral:rRNA from 1 species